rnacentral:lncRNA from 1 species
CCUUAAAAAUUUCACUAUAAUCUUUUAACUAUAGUGUGUUUAUUUUUUUGGACUCACAAACAAAUCCAGUUGAUUUUUCUGGGCUUACCAACCACAACCCUAUAUCGAUAGUUUUUCAGGCUCACUAUCAAUCCAGUUGAUUUUUCAGGCUCACCAAUUAAAACUUACAAUGAUUGUUUUUUUGAACUAAUAAUCAACCCAC